rnacentral:tRNA from 1 species
GCCCCAGUGGCGCGCAAUGGAUAGCGCGUCGGGACUUCUAAUCCGGAGGCUGAGGGUUCGAGUCCCUCCUGGGCG